rnacentral:rRNA from 1 species
UGAGUAAUACGUGAGUAACCUGCCCUUGACUCUGGGAUAAGCCUGGGAAACUGGGUCUAAUACUGGAUACGACAUGUCACCGCAUGGUGGUGUGUGGAAAGGGUUUUACUGGUUUUGGAUGGGCUCACGGCCUAUCAGCUUGUUGGUGGGGUAAUGGCUCACCAAGGCGACGACGGGUAGCCGGCCUGAGAGGGUGACCGGCCACACUGGGACUGAGACACGGCCCAGACUCCUACGGGAGGCAGCAGUGGGGAAUAUUGCACAAUGGGCGAAAGCCUGAUGCAGCGACGCCGCGUGAGGGAUGACGGCCUUCGGGUUGUAAACCUCUUUCAGCACGGAAGAAGCGAAAGUGACGGUACGUGCAGAAGAAGCGCCGGCUAACUACGUGCCAGCAGCCGCGGUAAUACGUAGGGCGCAAGCGUUGUCCGGAAUUAUUGGGCGUAAAGAGCUCGUAGGCGGUUUGUCGCGUCUGCUGUGAAAGCCCGGGGCUUAACCCCGGGUGUGCAGUGGGUACGGGCAGACUUGAGUGCAGUAGGGGAGACUGGAAUUCCUGGUGUAGCGGUGAAAUGCGCAGAUAUCAAGGAGGAACACCCGAUGGCGAAAGGCAGGUCUCUUGGGCUGUUACCUGACGCUUAAGGAGCGAAAAGCAUGGGGGAGCCG